UGGUGGAGUGAUUUGUCUGGUUAAUUCCGUUAACGAACGAGACCUCGCUCUGCUAAAUAGACACACAAAUUCAUCGAAUUUGAUUGUGCGCUUCUUAGAGAGACUAUCGGUGCGUAGCCGAUGGAAGUUCGAGGCAAUAACA
rnacentral:rRNA from 1 species